rnacentral:rRNA from 1 species
UGCCAGCCGCCGCGGUAAUACGGACGGUCCGAGCGUUAUCCGGAAUCAUUGGGUUUAAAGGGUCCGUAGGCGGUUAGAUAAGUCAGUGGUGAAAGUUUUCGGCUCAACCGGAAAAAUGCCAUUGAUACUGUUUAGCUUGAAUUAGUGUGAAGUAGGCGGAAUAUGACAUGUAGCGGUGAAAUGCUUAGAUAUGUCAUAGAACACCGAUAGCGAAGGCAGCUUACUAUGUUAGUAUUGACGCUAAUGCACGAAAGCGUGGGGGGCGAACAGGAUUAGAUA